UACGUAGGGCGCGAGCGUUGUCCGGAUUUAUUGGGCGUAAAGAGCUCGUAGGCGGCUUGUCGCGUCGACUGUGAAAACCCGCGGCUCAACCGUGUGGCUUGCAGUUGAUACGGGCAGGCUAGAGUUCGGUAGGGGAGACUGGAAUUCCUGGUGUAGCGGUGAAAUGCGCAGAUAUCAGGAGGAACACCGGUGGCGAAGGCGGGUCUCUGGGCCGAUACUGACGCUGAGGAGCGAAAGCGUGGGGAGCGAACAGG
rnacentral:rRNA from 1 species